AGCUCCAAUAGCGUAUAUUAAAGUUGUUGCAGUUAAAACGCUCGUAGUCGGAUUUCGGGGCGGUCUCGCCGGUCUGCCGAUGGGUAUGCACUGGCAGGGCCGUCCUUCCUUCCGGAGACUGCGCCUACUCUUAGCUGAGCGGGUGCGGGAGACGGAUCGUUUACUUUGAAAAAAUCAGAGUGUUUCAAGCAGGCAGCUCGCUUUUGCAUGGAUUAGCAUGGGAUAAUGAAAUAGGACUUUGGUGCUAUUUUGUUGGUUUCGAACACCGAAGUAAUGAUUAACAGGGACAGUCAGGGGCACUCGUAUUCCGCCGAGAGAGGUGAAAUUCUCAGACCAGCGGAAGACGAACCACUGCGAAAGCAUUUGCCAGGGAUGUUUUCACUGAUCAAGAACGAAAGUA
rnacentral:rRNA from 1 species